CUGGGAGUUAAAGUUCUGGUGCCCUUUCCGAGGAAGGAUUGGCUAAAGGCUGACGCUUAGCAGCAAUGGCAGCCAAAAGUAAGCAAGCUAUGCUGAAUGGAAGCCACCAGAUGACUUCAACAUGGCAAUUUACAAAAUAGAAAAAAAUCUGACUGUGCUUUGAAGAAGAGAAAGUCCGAAAACCCAUAUACGCGAACGCGUGUGCAUGAUUUCAUUCAUAAACUGUGAGCAUGAUUUCAUUCAUAAACUGCUAUGUCCUUGCACAACGGCUUUACCAUUUCAAAAUCGUGAGCCUUUAAUAAGACGUUUAUUUGCUUCAUACAAAUUUGGAAGAGGCCACUUCAACAAUAUAUUUGAGAUACGUUUUGGAUUACAAAUUGACUUUUGACAGCAUAUAUCCCGACUUAUCCUUCGAGUUCUACUGAAUGUUUGGGAGGUGCUAACGCCUCUAUAGAUCCUGGCUGGGGCAUUUAAGAAUCAUUUAUAAGAGAACAUUAUGUAUAUAUUUGAUGAAUUGUAGUAACUAGUGACAUUGGGAGAUAUCAAAUUUAUAUAUGCACCUGGUAUUGGGCAAUUUAUUACGUUUCAUUUAUUUGAAUUUACAGUAUAAUUAUAAGAAGAAAGAGUAUAUGAAUAAACCAAUUUGUAUGUAUGUGUGAACAGAAGUAUAGAGGUAUUGGAGUUCAAUUACAAUUAAUAUUCAAGAAGUUGCCUGUCAGUGUACUACGCGUUUUUGGUUGUAUACAAUUUAGUACGUAGUACACACACCUGUUGGAUUGCUCUGUCAUUUCUAUGCCCGCAUUAAAGUAUACACGGGUACAGAAAAAGGGGGACAAGAGAUGACAAAAUUGGGGGUCAUCAGGAUACCACUGAGUGUGUCCAGGGUUGCUAUACAGGCAACAGCAAACCACCUCUCAGCAUCUCUUGCCUGGAAAACCCCACAGGACAACCCUGUCAU